rnacentral:rRNA from 1 species
UACGUAGGGGGCAAGCGUUGUCCGGAAUCAUUGGGCGUAAAGCGCGUGUAGGCGGCCCGGUAAGUCCGCUGUGAAAGUCCAGGGCUCAACCCUGGAAUGCCGGUGGAUACUGUCGGGCUCGAGUCCGGAAGAGGCGAGUGGAAUUCCUGGUGUAGCGGUGAAAUGCGCGGAUAUCAGGAGGAACACCAAUGGCGAAGGCAGCUCGCUGGGACGGUACUGACGCUGAGACGCGAAAGCGUGGGGAGCAAACAGG